UUGUGUCGGCCCUGUGAUGGAUCAGUGAAACGUCCAGAGCUCAGCUUCUCACCAGAUGCUGGCGGUGAUAAAGCAAGACUUGAGCAGGAUAUGGAAAAUGAAUGAGAGCAUUUAUUUAUAAAACUUUAUUUUAUUCUUUUCAACUCAAGAACUGUUUUCUUGGAAAACCUCCAAGCGACAAACGCAAACCACAUACAUGGUACAUAUGACAAACAACACACGGCGCCGUCUACGUCGUUGAAAAAACACAGUCUACUUCGGAACAAAUCAUGAGAAGGACGGUGGUGAGGGAUUUAUCAUGAAAUCCCUGUGUGCGACUUGAGAUUUCUACAAAUAAAAAUGAGUAAAAACAGAAAUUAGGGGAUAUUUUAAAUAUUCCGAUGUGGGGAAAUAAGAAAAGCAUAAAAUGCAUGAGCUAAAUUUUCUUUCCUGAUUGCCAGGUGCUCUGUACUCAGCUCGUACUUCUGAUUUACACAAACAUAAUUCCUCAGGAGAAUCUGACACAGUUACAUUCAGCUGCAGAGUGCCACAGAAAUGCUACGAUAGAUAAAAUAGAUUCAGUAUAUUUUGUUUACAUAAAACGCUUUCUUCUUUUGGCUUGUACAUUGGUUCUGCAUCAAUUUAUUCCUGAGAUGCAAUACUGUCUUAAACUUGAACUAAAAGGGGAUGCACAAAAAAAAUAAAUAAAAAGGAUCAAAAUCAAUGACAAGUCAUAAAUAAACAAGAAGUGACACUACUUGAUAUCCCAGACUUCAGAAUGUGACAACAACUCUUCAGUCUGCGAGCUUCCAAAGCGUCCAUCUACGCCGUUUGCUUGUUCGUGUUGUCACAAAGAGACAUGCACAUGCUUGUUUUGCCACAGAGCCGUGACGCAGUUGCACCAAAAAUGAACAAAGAGGAAGAAAAGUUAGAAGCACAGCCACUUCUUUUUUCUUUUUUUCCAUAGGCAUACCAAUCAGGCGUAAGACACUUCAUGACUCCGGAUGAUGUCUUCAUGUGAGUGGUUUCAAGCAUUAAACAGUUAGCCCGAGCAGCGGGGGACCUUCUCCACAUUUAUUAAAGCAAAUUACUGGAGCAACAUUCACCAACUGUACCUACUGGAGAGGCCGGUGUAGACGGAACAACAGAACUAGCGCUAACAACUACCGUCAGUGGAACAAUGCGAGGUAGCAUCGAUGAGUGGAGCAGUGAAACCUGAGAGGGUGAGCAGGCAGCGCUAGGUAAAUGCUUAGGUUUGCAUUUCUGUGUACAAACAGAAGAAAAAUAGCCCUGUGAGAGCAAGGGUGGAGCAAAAGCUCCUCUCCUUUCCAGCUGGUGAACAAAUCGGAACAAAUAAAUCUUAAGCUAGCGUACCGUGUUUGGAUGUGUGUGUUUGUGCUGUCAUGCACGGAACAAAGGGAGUCGCUCUGCCUUCAGGUUAGUGUGCUGUACAUACAUCUGAAUAACUGACGCGCAAUGCAUUAGAAUAGGAUUCUAAGAGUAAAAGCUAAAACUCUUUGUUAAAGUUUCUUCUUAUUUUUUGUCAAAGGGCAAGGUCAGUGUCACUAGCAAAAUAAUAACCAAUUUACAAAGCAGAUAAUAUAAAAUAAAAACAUUCAGCUUCUGAAAUAACAUCAUACAGUAGUAAUUUUCUUUUUCAAAAUGAGUUUAAAAUCAAUUGAAAACACAUGCACAAUUUCAAUGGACGACAUUUCUUACUCUCUUUCACAAUACUGUAACACUGAAGGUCUUGCAGUAUAUCUAGUCUGUUUUACAAACAUUUAUGGACACAAAUAAACUAAGAAAUCACUGACAUGCAUGCUCUUAUGCUGAAAGGAGAAAAAAAAUCACAGCCAUUAAUAACAACUUUACAUUAUAGCAAAAAAAAAAAAAAAAAAAAAAAAAGACAUGAAA